UGCAGUCGAGCGGACCGACGGGAGCUUGCUCCCUUAGGUCAGCGGCGGACGGGUGAGUAACACGUGGGUAACCUGCCUGUAAGACUGGGAUAACUCCGGGAAACCGGGGCUAAUACCGGAUGCUUGAUUGAACCGCAUGGUUCAAUCAUAAAAGGUGGCUUUUAGCUACCACUUGCAGAUGGACCCGCGGCGCAUUAGCUAGUUGGUGAGGUAACGGCUCACCAAGGCGACGAUGCGUAGCCGACCUGAGAGGGUGAUCGGCCACACUGGGACUGAGACACGGCCCAGACUCCUACGGGAGGCAGCAGUAGGGAAUCUUCCGCAAUGGACGAAAGUCUGACGGAGCAACGCCGCGUGAGUGAUGAAGGUUUUCGGAUCGUAAAACUCUGUUGUUAGGGAAGAACAAGUACCGUUCGAAUAGGGCGGCACCUUGACGGUACCUAACCAGAAAGCCACGGCUAACUACGUGCCAGCAGCCGCGGUAAUACGUAGGUGGCAAGCGUUGUCCGGAAUUAUUGGGCGUAAAGCGCGCGCAGGCGGUUUCUUAAGUCUGAUGUGAAAGCCCCCGGCUCAACCGGGGAGGGUCAUUGGAAACUGGGGAACUUGAGUGCAGAAGAGGAGAGUGGAAUUCCACGUGUAGCGGUGAAAUGCGUAGAGAUGUGGAGGAACACCAGUGGCGAAGGCGACUCUCUGGUCUGUAACUGACGCUGAGGCGCGAAAGCGUGGGGAGCGAACAGGAUUAGAUACCCUGGUAGUCCACGCCGUAAACGAUGAGUGCUAAGUGUUAGAGGGUUUCCGCCCUUUAGUGCUGCAGCAAACGCAUUAAGCACUCCGCCUGGGGAGUACGGUCGCAAGACUGAAACUCAAAGGAAUUGACGGGGGCCCGCACAAGCGGUGGAGCAUGUGGUUUAAUUCGAAGCAACGCGAAGAACCUUACCAGGUCUUGACAUCCUCUGACAACCCUAGAGAUAGGGCUUCCCCUUCGGGGGCAGAGUGACAGGUGGUGCAUGGUUGUCGUCAGCUCGUGUCGUGAGAUGUUGGGUUAAGUCCCGCAACGAGCGCAACCCUUGAUCUUAGUUGCCAGCAUUCAGUUGGGCACUCUAAGGUGACUGCCGGUGACAACCGGAGGAAGGUGGGGAUGACGUCAAUCAUCAUGCCCCUUAUGACCUGG
rnacentral:rRNA from 1 species